GGAGCGGCCGAUGGCGGAUUAGCUAGUUGGUAGGGUAAAGGCCUACCAAGGCGACGACCCGUAGCUGGUCUGAGAGGACGACCAGCCACACUGGAACUGAGACACGGUCCAGACUCCUACGGGAGGCAGCAGUGGGGAAUUUUGGACAAUGGGCGAAAGCCUGAUCCAGCCAUGCCGCGUGAGUGAAGAAGGCCUUCGGGUUGUAAAGCUCUUUCAGCCGGAAAGAAAGCGCAUGGGUGAAUAACCUGUGUGGAUGACGGUACCGGAAGAAGAAGCACCGGCUAACUACGUGCCAGCAGCCGCGGUAAUACGUAGGGUGCGAGCGUUAAUCGGAAUUACUGGGCGUAAAGCGUGCGCAGGCGGUUUUGUAAGACAGAUGUGAAAUCCCCGGGCUUAACCUGGGAACUGCAUUUGUGACUGCAAGGCUAGAGUACGGCAGAGGGGGGUAGAAUUCCACGUGUAGCAGUGAAAUGCGUAGAUAUGUGGAGGAAUACCGAUGGCGAAGGCAGCCCCCUGGGUCGAUACUGACGCUCAUGCACGAAAGCGUGGGGGGCAAACAGGAUUAGAUACCCUGCUAGUCCACGCCCUAAACGAUGUCAACUAGGUGUUGGGGGGGGGAGACUUCCUUAGUACCGCAGCUAACGCGUGAAGUUGACCGCCUGGGGAGUACGGUCGCAAGA
rnacentral:rRNA from 1 species